rnacentral:rRNA from 1 species
UACGGAGGGUGCAAGCGUUAAUCGGAAUUACUGGGCGUAAAGGGUGCGUAGGCGGUUGUUUAAGUCUGUUGUGAAAUCCCCGGGCUCAACCUGGGAAUGGCAAUGGAUACUGGGCAGCUAGAGUGUGUCAGAGGAUGGUGGAAUUCCCGGUGUAGCGGUGAAAUGCGUGGAGAUCGGGAGGAACAUCAGUGGCGAAGGCGGCCAUCUGGGACAACACUGACGCUGAAGCACGAAAGCGUGGGGAGCAAACAGG